rnacentral:rRNA from 1 species
CCAUUCCUACGGGGGGCAGCAGUGGGGAAUAUUGCACAAUGGGGGAAACCCUGAUGCAGCGACGCCGCGUGAGUGAAGAAGUAUUUCGGUAUGUAAAGCUCUAUCAGCAGGGAAGAAGAUGACGGUACCUGAGUAAGAAGCCCCGGCUAACUACGUGCCAGCAGCCGCGGUAAUACGUAGGGGGCAAGCGUUAUCCGGAUUUAAUGGGGGUAAAGGGAGCGUAGACGGCUGCGCAAGUCUGAAGUGAAAGCCCGGGGCUCAACCCCGGGAGUGCUUUGGAAACUGCGUAGCUAGAGUGAAGUAGA